rnacentral:rRNA from 1 species
UACGGAGGGUGCGAGCGUUGUCCGGAAUUACUGGGCGUAAAGCGUGCGCAGGCGGUCUGUUAAGACCGAUGUGAAAUCCCCGGGCUUAACCUGGGAACUGCAUUGGUGACUGGCAGGCUUUGAGUGUGGCAGAGGGAGGUAGAAUUCCACGUGUAGCAGUGAAAUGCGUAGAGAUGUGGAGGAAUACCGAUGGCGGAAGGCAGCCUCCUGGGCCAACACUGACGCUCAUGACACGAAAGCGUGGGGAGCAACAGG